AAUAAGUGUACUCUUACACUAUUUAUAUUCAAUGAUCAACGUUUGACUGUUCGUCUUAUUUAAUUUUUUUAUUAGUAUUUUUUGUUGUUAUUAGAUGAUAAAACACGAAUAGUACUAACAUUUUUUUGUUUUUUUCAUAAACUUUUCAAAUAAAACGGACGGUCAAACGUUAGACACGGAUACCCACAACUGCACUUAUU
rfam:Oryza nivara chromosome 4, whole genome shotgun sequence.